CGCCGCCGUGGCGCCGGGUGCUCGCCCCCGCUCUCGGCGGGGCCGUGGCCGGCACCCUGUGGUGGUGGCUGCGGGCCACCGGCGGCGUC
rnacentral:tRNA from 1 species